UACGGGGGGGGGCAAGCGUUGUUCGGAAUUACUGGGCGUAAAGGGUGCGUAGGCGGGUCUUUAAGUCAGGGGUGAAAUCCUGGAGCUCAACUCCAGAACUGCCUUUGAUACUGAAGAUCUUGAGUUCGGGAGAGGUGAGUGGAACUGCGAGUGUAGAGGUGAAAUUCGUAGAUAUUCGCAAGAACACCUGUGGCGAAGGCGGCUUUCUGGGCCUUACCUGACGCUGAGA
rnacentral:rRNA from 1 species